rnacentral:rRNA from 1 species
AGCCACGGUUAAAGCACUUUGACUAGACCAGUUCCCAAUAGAUCACUGAAGUUGAGCAACAUUGCACGUGGUUGGUAUCCAGAUUGAUGGCCAUCUUUACAAUCACGUACUGACGGAUU